rnacentral:lncRNA from 10 species
CAGGCUGGUCUCGAAUUCCGGACCUCGGGUGAUCCACCCGUCUCGGCCUCCCAGAGUGCUGGGAUUACAGUGUGAGCCACCGCGCCCAGUCCAUUAUGUUAUUCUCCUUGCAAAUCUUUCCUCCUACCACCCAGUCAGCAAGAUUUGGGAAGCUUGGGUAAAUGAUGGAAUUAAAAGGUCAAUUUCUUAGGAUGGCUACAAGACCAAAUGUAAACUUCACACUUAAUUUAUGCUUAAUCUAAUUAGAAAACAUCUGCCUAAGAAUUAGAGAAAGAGCUGGGUGCUGUGGUGGUGCGUGCUUGUGAUCCCAGCUACUCCAGAGGCUGGGGCAGGUAAGAUCUCUUGAGCCUAGGAGUCCGAGGACCAGGGGGAAUAAAAAGGAGCUAGGGAAAGAAUCUAUCCCCAGGGUACUGGGGCCCGCUGCGGCUGCAUGCCCUUGAGGCUUUCUAAGAGGAGCCAGGAAACCUGGGCCCAGAACCCACAAGGAUAAGGGCUUGGAUGGCCCAGGAGGGGCCUAACUGGGACAAGACAAGGAAAGAGCCUUUAGAGUAUUCAGUACAGAAAACUGCACGGAGAGCAACACCAGUUCCCUCCCCAUGUAGCUCCCACAUCAACACUAAGCCAGCAACUCCACUCUACAGAGUUUAUUGGGUUUGUAACUGGACGAAGUCACACGUGUACAAAAUGAAGCUCACACUAUCCCAAAGCAGAGUAGGGACUGAGGCCGGGGAUCCAUUACUGGCCUUUGGGGGAGCUCUGAGGGAACCCACCUGGCUUUGGUCACAGAA